rnacentral:rRNA from 1 species
UACGUAGGGUGCAAGCGUUGUCCGGAAUUAUUGGGCGUAAAGGGCUCGUAGGCGGUCCAUCGCGUCGGGAGUGAAAAGCUGGGGCUCAACCUCGGGUCUGCAUCCGAUACUGCCCGGCUAGAGGUAGGUAGGGGAGAUCGGAAUUCCUGGUGUAGCGGUGAAAUGCGCAGAUAUCAGGAGGAACACCAAUGGCGAAGGCAGCUUGCUGGGACGGUACUGACGCUGAGGCGCGAAAGCGUGGGGAGCAAACAGG